UUACCCUACGGGGCGCAGCAGUGAGGAAUAUUGGUCAAUGGCCGGAAGGCUGAACCAGCCAAGCCGCGUGAGGGAAUAAGGCCCUAUGGGUCGUAAACCUCUUUUGUCAGGGAGCAAAGGCGUCCACGUGUGGACGAGAGGAGAGUACCUGAAGAAAAAGCAUCGGCUAACUCCGUGCCAGCAGCCGCGGUAAUACGGAGGAUGCGAGCGUUAUCCGGAUUUAUUGGGUUUAAAGGGAGCGUAGGUGGAUUGUUAAGUCAGUUGUGAAAGUUUGCGGCUCAACCGUAAAAUUGCAGUUGAAACUG
rnacentral:rRNA from 1 species